UACGAAGGGGGCUAGCGUUGCUCGGAAUCACUGGGCGUAAAGGGCGCGUAGGCGGCCAUUCAAGUCAGGGGUGAAAGCCUGUGGCUCAACCACAGAAUUGCCUUUGAUACUGUUUGGCUAGAGACCGGAAGAGGUAAGUGGAACUGCGAGUGUAGAGGUGAAAUUCGUAGAUAUUCGCAAGGACACCAGUGGCGAAGGCGGCUUACUGGUCCGGUUCUGACGCUGAGGCGCGAAAGCGUGGGGAGCAAACAGG
rnacentral:rRNA from 1 species